rnacentral:rRNA from 1 species
CCUACGGGUGGCAGCAGUGAGGAAUAUUGGUCAAUGGCCGCAACGCUGAACCAGCCAAGUCGCGUGAAGGAAGACGGCCCUAUGGUUUGUAAACUUCUUUUAUAGGGGAAUAAAGGUAUCCACGUGUGGAUUUUUGCAUGUACCCUAUGAAUAAGCACCGGCUAAUUCCGUGCCAGCAGCCGCGGUAAUACGGAGGGUGCGGGCGUUAUCCGGAUUUAUUGGGUUUAAAGGGAGCGGAGGUUGUUGUUUAAGUGAGUGGUGAAAUUCAGGGGCUCAACCUUGGAACUGCAGUUGAAACUGGGAGGCUUGAGUGUGUUUGAGGUAGGCGGAAUGCGUGGUGUAGCGGUGAAAUGCAUAGAUAUCACGAAGAACUCCGAUUGCGAAGGCAGCCUAC